GCUCAGGACGAACGCUGGCGGCGUGCUUAAUACAUGCAAGUCGUACGCUUCUUUUUCCACCGGAGCUUGCUCCACCGGAAAAAGAAGAGUGGCGAACGGGUGAGUAACACGUGGGUAACCUGCCCAUCAGAAGGGGAUAACACUUGGAAACAGGUGCUAAUACCGUAUAACAAUCGAAACCGCAUGGUUUUGAUUUGAAAGGCGCUUUCGGGUGUCGCUGAUGGAUGGACCCGCGGUGCAUUAGCUAGUUGGUGAGGUAACGGCUCACCAAGGCYACGAUGCAUAGCCGACCUGAGAGGGUGAUCGGCCACAUUGGGACUGAGACACGGCCCAAACUCCUACGGGAGGCAGCAGUAGGGAAUCUUCGGCAAUGGACGAAAGUCUGACCGAGCAACGCCGCGUGAGUGAAGAAGGUUUUCGGAUCGUAAAACUCUGUUGUUAGAGAAGAACAAGGAUGAGAGUAACUGUUCAUCCCUUGACGGUAUCUAACCAGAAAGCCACGGCUAACUACGUGCCAGCAGCCGCGGUAAUACGUAGGUGGCAAGCGUUGUCCGGAUUUAUUGGGCGUAAAGCGAGCGCAGGCGGUUUCUUAAGUCUGAUGUGAAAGCCCCCGGCUCAACCGGGGAGGGUCAUUGGAAACUGGGAGACUUGAGUGCAGAAGAGGAGAGUGGAAUUCCAUGUGUAGCGGUGAA
rnacentral:rRNA from 1 species